rnacentral:lncRNA from 1 species
UGUAUCCUUCCUAGUGCUGCUUCUUGCAGCCCUUAUCCUCAUGCCUCAAGGGCUUGCUACUUACUACAAACCAAUUAAGAAGCCACCAGUGUACAAGCCUCCAGUGUACAAGCCACCAGUGUACAAACCACCGGUUUAUAAGCCAAAACCACCGGUUUACAAGCCGAAACCACCGGUUUACAAGCCACCAUAUAAGAAGCCACCAUACAAGAAACCACCUUAUGGAAAGUACCCUCCAGUAGAGGACAACACCCAUGCCUAAAGCAAGCAAUGAGGUCUAUUAUCUACUUAAUAAAUAAGAGGAACUGCUUUGUGUUUUCUAGCAUUGUGACUUACAACUUCGUAGCAAUGCAUAUUCUUGACUCUUGCAUGCACUUCAAUCCUUCGUAGCAUUAAUGAUGUGGCCAAGUCAUCAUGAGCAUCAUACUUAUUUCUUUGUGAAUGUAAAUCAAAAUUAUAAGAGAGAAAAUGGUGCUUUUGUACUACAGAUUACUAUAAAUAAAAAACUUUUAUGGUUUUCAGAUUGUGCUGGUUGAUUGAUUUGCUCUACCAUUAAUUAUGACGAAACGUAGUUUUUUUUUUUCUCUUUUUUAAUCCGUAAAAAUAAAAAAAAUAAAAAAAUAAAUUUAUAAUAAUUCACACUUUAUUUAAUUAAUCGAAAUAAAUUCCAUAAUAGAUGAUACAUAGUUUGACAUACUAUUGUUAAGCUUAAGAUUAAAGAUCGACCCUAUGUUGCAACUAAACUUUCUACAAUCAAUUUUAUAAAUUGGAUUGGUGCAUGUAAGUCUAGCUAGCUAGAGGCAGAAGAACAGUACUAGAGUAGUAGAUGGAAGCCACUCUCCACGCACCUCAAAUAACUCGCAAUUAAACUUGAGCAUAACAUCAAUAGCGACUUAAGUUAAUUUCAAUUAUGGGCUCUAUUUGAACAAAUUUCUCUAUAAAUAUUUCCAGAAGAAAAUAUUAAGAAAACAAUAAAUUGAACUUCUCAUUUAAGUUAAAAUAAACAUAUUUGUAUAUUUUUUAUAUAAAAACUCUCAUUUAACUUCUCUUAAAAAUAUUGAAGUAUAUAAAUUAAUUUUAGCUUAUGAAAAAAAAAAUCAACUUAUUUUAAUUUUCUAUUCUUAAAAAGCCAUAGUUAUAGUUAAUGUGUACAAAGACCAGUUCCUACGAGAGUUGCUGUAUCCUCCUAAACCAAAUAUCCGAAUACUCCUACUCAGUAAGAAUAUUUUGAUAUCUGUUAAUAAUUUUAUAAUAAAUUAUUUAUUUAAUUUGACAUUUUAAUAUUUAAUUUCUUUCCAAGUUUACCCCUUUUCCAUAUGACCAGUCAACUUAUCCUCUUCAUUCGACUUUAAAAAGAGUGGGUGGUGGUGCGGUGAAGCUGAAAACCACACACAAUGAUGGUGGUGGAGAAUGUGAAAAUGGUUGUGGUCGGAGAAGGAGGUACAAGGGACAAAGUUAACUGAGGAAAAAAAAAACUCAGCGUGAGAGAGGGUCUUUUGAAAAAAAGGACAAAUUUGGAAAGGAGAAAAAAAGUUAAAAAGUGUGUUAACAAGUGUGAAUGCUUAGGUGAUUCAGUUACUUUUUCGCCACAUAUGAUCGGAGGAAUAAACAUUUCUCUUUUUCAUAUUACUAUUUUUGUAUGUUUGUCUACACGUACAUGUGGACGGUUAUUUGUAUCAAGUAUCAACUACAUAUGGGUGUCAAAAUUUAAAACUGAACCGAAUUUAAUGAAUUGAUUCAACAACUCUAAUAUAUAUGUGAUGUGAUUUGAAUUUUAAUAAUUUGCGUACGAUUUUAAUUUAAUUUUGAACCUACUUCAGUACAAAAAUUUACGUAUAAUCUUACUACAAGUACUUAAGUCACCACAAUCAUCUACACUCACAUCUUGAAAAAGUGACAUUGAUAGCAAAUUCAUGAAGUACUCACAGCUAACGUCAUUUGAUGGUUGAAUGAACCCCUCAGCUACCCAUAGCUGAAUGAGUGUUCUCUUAUCAAACUCAAAACCUUUUGGAAACAAUGAACAAUAAGCAAAACAGUUUUCCAAAAAUGAAGGAAGAUGGUCAAAACUCAGUUUAAGGAUUGCAAAGAUUUUGUCCUUCUCUUGAUCUAUCUUUGAAAACCCAACUUCCUUAGAGGCUAUUACUAUGCGCACCCAGCAUAAUUACUGGUACAUCCAGCAUAACAGCAUAAUUCCCGUUUUGUCCUUUCCUAAAAUUGAUACAAAUUGUCAAUUCAUAUAAGAUUUACGGAUUGUCCAAUCUGUAAGUAGCCCAAAUAUUUUUUUAAUUUUUUUUUUAAAAAAAUAUGUUUUAUGAAUUAAUUUAAAAUUAAUGAUUCAUGCAAGAAUCAAACUUAUAACUUUCACGUUAUUAACACGACAUUCUAACCAAUCUCAAUAUUCUUGUCAACCCUUUUAAGUUAUUUUCUUUAUGUUAGUUUUUAACCGAUGUUGAAAGUGCCGAUGUUGAAUGUAUUAUCGUUAACAUCGGUUUUAAAAAAACUGAUGUUAACGUUAAUUUUACAACAUCGUUUAUUUAAAUAACCAAUGUUGAUAAUAAGAAUUACACCCAAAAAAAUGUAUUAAUGUUGAUAGUUAACAUCGGUUUUUUGGAAAAAUCGAUGUUAACGUAACUUAACAUCGGUUUUUUUAUAUAAAAUUGAUGUUAACGUAUGUGUUAAUGUUGACAGUUAACAUCGGUUUUUUGGAAAAACCAAUGUUAACGUAACUUAACAUCGGUUUUUUUACAGAAAACCGAUGUUAACGUAUGUGUUAAUGUUGACAGUUAACAUCGAUUUUCUGUAAAAAAAAAGAAAACCGAUUUUAACGUACGUUAACAUCAGUUUUUUCCAAAAACCCGAUGUUAACGUAUGUGUUAAUGUUGACAAUUAACAUCGGUUUUUCCAAAUAAUCGAUGUUGUUUUCAGGAUUUUUUUUUAAAUAUUCUCUCUGUUUUUACAAAAAAAACCAAAAUUUAACCUGUAAAUUUAAAAUUAGACCACACAGCAUAUAUGAUUUGCAUUUUGCUUUCAAAUAGGUUUUAGCAGAAAACUAGCUAGUAAACUAUUAAAAUGAAACAUCAAUUGUAAAAAAUGUAAUGCAAAGUACGGUAAACUAAUUAAGUAACCUAAAGUUACAUAGUUCCCUAACAUCCUAUGUUUGAUUUCUAACUUUUAGAUAAUAUUGUGCCCACUGCAUGUGAAGCGCCUUGAAUCUCUCUGCUUCCAAUGAUCUAACAUCAUUAAAAUACUGGAUGAUCAAAUAAAAGAUAAAUUAAUGAUGUAAUAACAAUGAUAAGAAAAUCAACUUUGUUUGAAAUAAACAAUUACCGUUUCUCAAUUAUUCCUGAAAGUUCCUGAGAUUAUCGUGGACAUCUAGUGCAUGACGUAAUAGCUGUACUCAGUGUUUCGUUUUUGUCUAUUACACUAAAUACAUAAUGAAAUUUGGAUAUUAAUUAAGCGUUAACUACAAUUAGUGUACACACACAUAAGCAGUAUAUAUAAUUAGAAGUUUAAUUUAAAUCACGUACCUUAACAACAAUCCACCUAGCCGCAGCCUUGGAUUUAGGUUGUGGAGUAUCAUCAAGUCCUUUCAAAGCACUAUUGAAUACGAGGAACAUUAAAAUAUUGAUGUUGUUGAGUUAUGCUAAUGCAAAUAUAUUGAAAACAACAUUGACCUGUUAAUUAUUCCCUUAAGGUAGUUGUCUGGCCUGUUAUGUAAAGAACAAAACCAGACAACUAGGUUUUCCUUAGGCAAAAUGACGACCAUUUGCCAGUGUCCGCUGCAGUGGAGACGAAUAUGGGCUAUUGUAAUAGUAUAGAUUAUUUAAAUUCAGUUGUUGUGUUUGACUUACCAAUUCAGGUAAGCUCCAAGGUAAACAUCGCGUUUUGAACCCUGCAUCCAACUCUUGAUGUAACUUUUCGAUUCAAAUUGUGAUUGCCCAAAUCUCUGAAUGGACUGUGGCUCGAGAAAUCCAUACACAUCGGAAUUCCCCGCUCACAUACUUGUCUCAGUCAGAUGCCUGUGUUGUUAAGACAAAGUUAAUUAUGUAUGAAUUUAAAACAAUUACUUUGUUAAUUAACAGUAAUCUAAAUUGACUUACAAAAUUCACAACUGUAUAACAGAGAUGCUGAGACAUUGACCACCGUGUGCUAUUUCAUACAGAUCUUCAUGCUUUAUGUACAAGGGAAAGUCUGAAUUAAACAGCCCGAACAGGGAAGCAUCCCACAUAACCUUGAGAGGCUUCAAAAACAAUUGUGGGAUGGUCAAUGUCAUCAGAUGCAGAGGAUCAUCGACCUCACGAUCCGGGCUUUUUGGAGGUUUUGCUAGAGACACAACUGCCUGUUAAUCAAACAUAGUUAAUUAACAAGUUUUGAUUACAGUGAACAAAUCAAUUGAAAAAAAGAAACAUAUAAUCAGAGUAAAAUACCUGUUCUGAUAAACGUUUCACGAGAUGUAUCGGCCAAGCAAGGAAGGUGUUAAGUGUCUGCCCCACUAAGGUAACCUUGUCAAUGGGUACAGGAACGGGAGUCUCUGCAUCUUUAACCUCCUCAACACCAACCUUCACUUGGCCAUGCAACAAAGGGAUGUUAUGAACCACUGUGGAUCCCUCAUAAAGUCUUCCUAGGGCAACCAAGUAGGAAGGAUUUUCUUCAAUUUACAGCCCGCAUUUGUCUGAGUCAUCCGUCUCUGGAUCGUUCCCUGAGGAAUCAACACAACUCUUCUUUGUGCUGACACGAGCACUUGAGGGACCAACCUUUGGCUCCGGAGGCAGUGUAAAUCCCUGUGAUUGCAUCUGAGACUGAAACUGGGACUGCAUUUGGCUGAAGGAUGCCAUCACCUGCUGAGUAACUUUUUCUGUGAUCGACUCCUCCAGCUAGUCCCUGAUUUGUUGGGUUAACUGUUGUAGGUCUUCAGGAGGCAUAGAGGAAGAACUACGGGACAUUCGUGUAGCCAAUCCGAAAUAUUGCUUUAUGGUCACAUCAGCUCCAGCAGCACGGACACGGCCAGGGUGCUCUGAUCGCCCAAUGACAACAGUCAGGACAUCCUGACGUCUAUGGGGGACGAACGAUCCCUGUGACGCCUGCUCCUCCAAAGAAUCCUGUACAUAACACAUAUAUCUGUCCAAGGCAUUCACAAAAUACACAAAGAUAAUUACAAUUCUUAAUUGAAAAUGACUUACAAUCUUCUCAGUUAUUUCCUUUGUUGCCUCAGACGUCAUCGGCCCAGUUUUCUUUGUGUAGACCAUUUUUCACUUCAUGUGGCGUCUGAUGGGAGAUGGAGGGUCAAUGACGCCCUCAGUGCUUUCGGAUUGGGCAGCUUCCUCCAGUCUUUUCUUUGUCUUCUCAGCCAUAAGCUUUUGUUCUAAAUAUUCAUAACCCCCACGAAACAACACGUGGGGGGCAGUGUUUUGCUUCUGGAUGACUUGUGUUUUUUUCCGCACAUCCUGCAAAAAUCGAACAUUAAUGAAAAUGAUUACUACAAUGAAUUAUAAGAAGUUAUUUUUUUUGUGGAAAACAACUAAAAUGACAAACUACAUACCUCCCACGAGGGGUCUCUGCGGGUCUGACAAAACUUGGCCCAUUUCUCCUUGCUAAUGUCGCAUUUUUCACAGACAGUGUCGUCCACACCGUCCUUGUCGGCUGCAAGUGCCCAUUUCCUGGUCAAGUCAGAUUUAAACUGCCUCCACGGCUUGUCGACAGUCUGAAGAAUUUUCUUCUUUGUCCUACUGUUAGAAGCUUCAGGGAUUUCAGAUGUUAAGAUCAAGUAGUUAACAUCGGUUUUGACAUCGGUUUUGAAAAAACCGAUGUUAACUAACUCGACUUAUUUACAAAAAUGUCAUCGUGCUUUUCUUAACAUUGGUUUUUUAAAAAAUCGAUGUUAAUCGUGCGAUGUUAAAUCUAUAUUUUGUAGUAGUGUUUAGGUAUCUCAUAAAUUAGUCAAUUUUAUUUUGAGUUCUUAAAUUUUUUUCUUUUUAUUUGAUCCUUGAUAUUUUAUUUUUGAGUUCAUGCCGUUAAAAAUUUUAAAAUGCAAUUUUUUACUACUAAAAAUAAUAACAAUGUAAAUUUAUUUAAAAUAUUAAAUUACCAUUUAUGGCAAUUCAAUUGGAAAAAAUGAAGUAGAUAUGAUCAAAUAAAACCUUACAGACAAGACGAAGUCUAAGGUGGUCAAGUGAGUUAGGUGAUUUCUGGUGGUCAAAUAAUUUUUUGCCAAUAGAUUUAUUAAUAAAAUAUUAAACCAUUCAGAUGAAAUCUUUUUGUCAGUUUUUAACAAUUAAAAUUAUUUCCUCCCUUGUCUGUCGUGCACCACCAUUGGCAACACGUCACUACCUUGCUUUACUUUCCACUCUUCUUCUUUCCCUCUAUUUCCCUUCGUACUUUGACACCUCCGUAACCUCACUGUCAUGUUGUUGAAUUCACAUCCUUGAUUUUAAUUAUGACAAACCAUUAGCAAAACAAAUUGAAAGGAUGAUGGGUUUAAGUGAUGGCUAACAUUUCUCCCAAGCGUUUUAGUGUUUAUUCCUUAAGAAGCAUAAGUGUUCUUUCAUUCUGAUGUACUUAGAAUGAUGCUUAGAAAGGUUCGAAGAAUUGUUGUGAGAGUUGAAAACUUAGAAGAAUCCUUAAAGCCCAUCAAAAUGAUGAAAUUUGCUUCCCUUUGAAUACUUAGUUCUUGGCAAGAUACUGAACAACCUUACAUAAAAGAUUCAUCAAAAGAUUCAUCAAAGGCUACCAGAAGAACAUCUUGGUUUAGAAUGAAGUUAUGCAGAGUCUACAUAGAAUGACAAACACCUUGACUCUGAGUUUCUAAACAUCAGAAUGAUUCAGAAAGACUCAUAAUGCAUCACUUAAACAAUAUUAGAAGAUUAAAGUUUCACAUUUCUUCACUUUGCAUAUGCCACCACAAUCACUGUAGGCACGUUAGAAAGUAAGAAUUGACUGCAUAAAAAGAUGUAAAAUUGUUGAAUGAUGAAGUUGUCCAUGAGAAGCAUUAAUGUAAACCAUCAGAUUGAAGGACUAAAGAAAACUACUCAGCCUGACCAUAGACAAAACACUAACACACCAACAACUCAAUUUCUACUAAGUCUUUCUAAAGUAAAUCAACUUAAGAAUGUUUCAAAGUUGUGAACAAGUGUUAAGAGUGAUGAAGUUGUACGACUUCGGAUUGAAAUUUCUAUCUAAACUUCGUCAAAGGAAUUCAUUAAGCAUGGACUCAUUCUUUACAAACAUCAUAAUGACUAUUGUGAUGGUUCUUCAGAAUCCGCAUAAAAAAAGUUCCUCAGAAUGGUAAUCUCCAAAUGGUUUUGUCUACUGUCACUUCAUGAUAGUUAUAAGGUGAACCUACUUGCUCCAGAAAUGUUUCAGUUGUGUGGAGCCCACUACAAUGAUUUUCUUGGGAGCUUUAUAAGGAAUUUUAGAAGGCUAUGAAGAACAAGUUGAAGCAUUCCAAAUUUGUAUCACAUUGUGCAAGUCCUUUGAGUAAGAAAUUUGUGUUUUAGCUUCAACCCUCUCUGUUAGAGUGACCCACUUUUGUAUUGUGCUUUCAAAGCUUGUAAUAACCUUAGAUAGAAAUGAGAGAUUAAGUUCUUGAGUGGAAUCCCUCAUGUGAGGUGAAAAUCUUUAGCAUGUGUCGUAAAACCAUAGAUAUUUUUUUUUUAUGUAAAGUCCAAUAGUGACUAGCAAAGGUGAAAUCCAGUGGUGCAGCUGGUCUAGUAGAAGAUUGAAGUCUAGUAAGGAAUUGACAAGGUUGUGAAACCCAAUGGUUGUUGGUCCAGUUGUGAAUUGGUUGUGUUACUGAAAUAACAUCUUUAAGGGUGAGGAUUGGACGUAGCCCAAGGUUGGGGUGAACCAGUAUAAAAACCUUUGUGCACUUUCUUCUCUUUCUCUAUAUUUUGUUCUUGCACAAAUCUAAAACUACUUUUGUAUAAAAUACUAAAUUUGUUAACUUUUUAUCUUAACAACUAAACUAAGUUUUGUUUUAUCAAGAGGUAUUAGUAAAGAACUAUCUUUAAAACAAAAGUCUUAAAACUGCAAAAGAACUAUUUUUUUGAAUGGUUUGCAUUUUCAUUCUGAGUUGCUUGAAUUUCCAUUCUAAGCUCAUAACAGUUUUUAUAUUCUGAACUACCAUAAAAAAAACCUUUUUGUUUUCAAAGGAAGAUUAAAAGUUUUCAAAACCCCAAUUAAACCCCCAUUUUUGGUAUUUUUCUCACUUCAAUUAGCAUCAAAGUUUAAAUGAGUUAUUCACGAGCCCUUAAUGUCAAGCUUUCAAAGCUUGAGUUUGACUCAUUUAAAUAAUCAAGCUUAAUCUCAAGCUUAAAUUUGUUUGUUUAAUUAAACAAAUGAACUUAAAUGAUUAAUUAACAAGUUGAACUUGAAUAGUUCACAAAUAGUUUGUCUUAUUCACAUCCCUAACUCUUCAUUUUUUUAUCCAUAGGAAUUGAAUAAGAUAUAAAAAAAUUUAGAACACUCAGACACCCUGCUUAAUCAACUAAGUUAGACACCUUUAGUCCCUAACUCUUCAUAUGGUUAUAAUCAUAUUCUAGUAACAAUAUGUUUCAUUUCACUACCUUACUAAAUUACAGGACUGACUUCAUUAUUUUGCAACACCCUUUACAUCACAUCAUUCAUUCAUAAAAUUUGCAUUAGUUAAAUAAAAUUAUUCAUCAUCAACAACUAUGUAAUGUAUACCACCAUGCAAUCAAAGGAUAAGCAAUUAAGAAAAUAUUUAAGCUUAUAUAAUCCAAGUAGCAUGAUUGCCUUAAUUGGUACAUAAUGCAAGGCAUAAAAACCAAAAAGUGGCAGUAUGUGUAAUAACAAAAUGAAACAAAGGAAGGAGAAAAAAUUAUUUGUGUGUUACAAAUAAAGAGGAGGAAGAAGGAAUAAUUUAAAAAUAACUCCAUAUAUUAUUUGUUCUAUUAUUUUAUCCAAUGAAUUGUGAAGAAAAUAGAUGCAUUAGUAACUAAUUAUCUAUAAAAUUAUAUGAAUUGGUCCAAUAUAUUAUUUAUUUAUUUUGUAAUUGAAGAAUUUUCUCAUGAUUAACUUAGAUGAAUAAUGAAUAAGUUAAUUAUUUUGUUGCUCCUAAUUUAACCUGGUGUGUCUAUAACUCAUGGUUCAGGUUGACCCAUUCUCUUAAUCUAACUUUGUUUGUUCAUUGAGUUGCUCUUUAAUAUGGGUGGGCUUAUUAUCAACAUGGCCAGUAAUAAUGGGAAUUGAAUCAUGCACUCUCAUAAGUGUAUCCUAGAUCCCACUAUUCCGUUUGAAAUUAUUUGAUUGCCUUUAAUCAAUUAGCACUAUCUUCCCCAACCCAUUCGCGAUGUCUCCCUCCUACGAAGGUUGCUCCCUUCCUCCUUCGUCUCAAACCUGCAUAUCCUCGUUCCCUUCCUUCUUCGUCAUUGAAGGCAAGCUUCUUCCUUUCUGGUGGGGUUGGGGUUGGGUUCUGGUAGGGAUGGGUUUUGGGGGUGGCUUCUGGUAGGGGUGGUUUCCGGUGUGGAUGGGGUCGCAUUUCAAAAUGCUCAUUCUGUAACCAAAAAAUGCUUUCGGAAUGAGCUUUCCAUAAGCAAAAAAAGCUUCAAUUUUUCAUAAGCCAAAAAAACAUUCAGAAUAGUUGUUCUGGAAGUACUUUAGCUUAAGCAACGACUAUUCCAUAAGCAAAUUUGUAAAUCCAAAACAUCCUGUCUAGAAGUGUAUUUUAUAUAUUUUGUAAGGGGGGUUCCAAAAAUUAGUAUUGGGCUUACAAAAAGCCCAUUAUGGAAGCAACAUCUGCAAUCCAAAGUAGCCUUUCCAAAAGUGUAUUUUGCAUCUUUCAAAAAGUACGAUUUUGGCUUAUGGAAUGACCAUUUCGAAAACAAAAUUGCAAUCCAUAAUAGUUUUUUGGGAGUACAUUUUGUACCUUCCAAAUGUUCAUUUGAGACAACAAUAUUUUUACUUACGAAAUAGGUGUUCCAUAAGAUUUUUCCUUCUGAAAUGGUCAUUCCAUAAGUGAAUUUAUCCCUUACGGAAAGCCUAUUUCGGAAACAAGUUUACAACAUGAACGUGAAUGCACGUUAAAAUGUACCUGCAAAGUGGAGAGUUAGAGAAGGAGAGGGACUUUUGCGGUGUUGAGUUGGACUUGCUUUGUACCUUCAAUGGUUGCGAGAAAAAGAGUUGGAGAAGAUAAGAAGAACUGGAAAAGGGGUUUAGACUUGCGCUAUAGGAAGAGAAGAACGAGAAUGGGCUGCAACUACGAGAGAAAGAAGGGAAACCGAGGAUGAGGAUAGAAAGGGUAGGUUGGGGUUUAUUAAAAAAUGGGAGAUGCAUGAUACAUUUAGGGAGGUGCAGAAUUCCAGUAAUGACCAACUCAAGUCCAAUUAAUGGUGACAUCAUAAGUUAAUGACUUAGUGUCACUUUUGAUCCAUUAUGUUUCGCAAUUAUUUUGUUUUAAUACAUUGAGUUUAAAAUGUUUCAUUCCAAUCCUUUAUGUUUUUGAAAUAUAUUGUUUUGACUCUUUUUCUAAUUUUCUAUUUGAAAUGUUAGUUUUUUGUUAAUAUUUAAAUUUCAAAAUAAUUAAUUUAUGACAGUGGUGAUUAAAAAUCGUCACAAUAUUUAAAUUAAUUAUCUUAUUAUAAAUAUAAUUAUUUAAACAUUAAUUGUAGCAAUUUUUAAUUCCAACAAAUUUCUUAUUAAAUUUUUAUAAAUGAUUCUUCAUCCUUGAAGAUUCAAUCUUCAUUCCACAAAUCAACAAAUGCAGUUUACAAAUAGCAAGAACAAUUUUUAUUUGCAAGAAACAUAGAGAUGUUCACUCAAUAAUGAUAUAAAACUUGUUCUUUUUUACACAACAAAACACAAUGAGCCCUUUUUUUUUUUAUCACAUAUGACGAAAGCAACAGCUCCAGGGUCAUUAAUUAGCUUUGCAAACGGGAUCUGAUAAUCACAACCGUGGUUGAUAAUCCUCCAAUGUAAUUUGUGUUUAUAAAUUUUAUUUUUUACUCCUUUAUAUACUAUUCAUUUUCUAAAAAAGAUUACUCAUGUAUGUAACUAAAGAUUAUAUUUUUUGUUUCUGUUUAAAAAAAUGUUUUCUUAUGUUAAUUUUUUUUCUUAAUCGAUGCUUUAAUGAUAUAAGUAAUUAACUAUUUGCUCCUGCAAUGUAGUUUAAGUGUUAUGCUACAUUGUUAGUUUUUAUAUAUGCAUGUGGGAAGGUUCACUUGGAACAAGUUGCAGUGCAAACUUGGAGUCUAAUAUACAUAUAACCAUUAAUGGAAGCCUUCAUUCCAAUAGACAAUAUAUAUAAGUUGUUUCGUGCUUAUAAAAUUGUAAUGUUUUUUGUAAAGGAUGUUUAAGUGUGUCAAAUAUGUUAUAGCAAGGCAAGGUACGUAGCAGUAAACUUUAAAUGAUGAGUCAAGCAUUUCCAGUAAAUCUACUCUAAUUGCAUGUUUACAUUGAAAUUUUAAAGUAUUAUUCAUUUUAUGUUAGUAGUCCUACAGCUGGCUACUAGCUAGCAUGAAUGUUUAUGUUGUUAUUUUGUGGAGAAAGUCAAAUAAUUGUUUUAGGUGAUUAAUUUCACGCAUUUAGAUAUGGAUGCUGAAAAUUCUUAAGUCAGACUUUGAAUUGUUUCAUGUUCAUAUUAAUAUUCAUAUAAAGAGAUAAACAAAUAUGUAACUUAGCUCUAUUUUUGUUUUGGUGAAUUAGCUCUAUUUAUUAUAGUCUAAUAAUAAUGGCUGCAUGUUGGACUAAAUAGCAGAAAUAUACUUUGCGGAGAUCAUUAAUUGUGAUCAAAAUUGUGGCAUUUUUUUAUUACCACUCAUAAAAUUAUCACCAUGAAAACCCUACUAAUUACGCAUUUAACGAUCCUCAAUUAUUUCAGUAAAAUAAAUUUUUGUCUACCUUAAUUUUUUUUUUCUGUAAAAUUCUCCUAUAGUUAAAUUUACAAUAGAAAUUUUCAAACGAUACUUUUUUUAAGUAAAUAAUUAAUUAAAUUUAUGCAAAAUAAUUAAAUUAGGUCAUAUCAAAUUUAAUAUGAAUUAGAUUAUUAUUUUAAUACUUAUUUACUUACAUAAAAAUAUUUAUUUUUUAAAAAAUAUAAUUAUUCACAUGAGAUUUAUAGCAAAUAAUUUUUUAACUUAAUAUUUUUAUAACUUAUUACAACUUUUUUAAACAUUAUACACCAUUGUUUUAUUUUUUGCAAUUUAUUUUUCUGUAGUUAAGGUACAACUUUGAUGAGGAAAAUGGACCAAUAUUAUAGAUAAAUCACAUUAGUCAAAAAAAUGUGAAUAAGAUGAUUUAUUAAAAAUCAUAUCACCAUUAAUUUAAUGUUUUAUAUAAAAGACAGGUUUGAUAAUGAGUUUAUAGUUUAGGAAAUUUAAAUUAAGUGAAGGGUAAAAUGUCAUGAAUAAGUUUGAAAAUUCAUAUCUUAUUUUUAGGUAUUGAGAGAAGGAUAAUGAAUUUUAAUGAUUUUAAUAUUGUUUAUUUGAAUUUGUGCAUUCGUUCAAUGAAUUUUAUUUUUCAAUAAAAAUAUCAAAUGUAGAAAAUAAAAUAAAAGAUUUUUUCUUUUUCACUAUUUUGAUUCUUAAUUUCAUAAAUAUUUUAAAUAAAUUUUAUAUUAAAAUUAAAAAUAUAAUAAAAAUAUUUGUUUUAAUCAAACGUGUUUUUAUUUUUUAUAUGAUUUUGAAAAGAAAUUAAAAGAGAGAAAAUACAAAAUUUUACUCACAAUAUAAAUUUUUUUCAUGAUAUAAAAAAAGAAAAUAGGAUUAAUAAAAUUUUGUAUGAUAAAAUAAUUAAUAGUAAAUUUAUUUAUUCUUUCUUUUACUUAUCAUUAUUUUAAAAAUAUAUAAAAUUUCAUCAAAAAUAAAUAUAUUGUAAUUCUUCCUCAAGUUAAAUGAUAUAUAAAGUUAUAUUUUCUUAACUCUAAUUUUUCUUUAUAUAUAUAUAUAUAUAUAUAUAUAUAUAUAUAUAUAUAUAUAUAUAUAUAUAUAUAUUUUGUUAAAUUUCCCUUUACUUCCAAAUAAAUAAUAAUUUUCAUUUUCCAAAACAAAAUUAGGUGAAGAGAUGAUUUGGAAAAAUAAGUAAAAUUUGAGAUAAUUAUUUUUAAUUAUAUAAAAAUUUCUAAACAAAAAUUGUAAAUGUUUAUCUGUCAUUAUUUUUCUGAAGUUUUAAAGUUAUUGUUUAAAAAAAAUUACACCUCCUACACAUAAUUUGUCCAGUGUGUCGCACAGAAACAUGUACUAGUGUAUGAAUAUAAGAAUAACACAUCCUUAUAUAAGUAAUUUGGUGUGAUCAUUUAUAUUUUCUUUUUCUUUUAUGUGAUUCUCAUCAUAUAAUAUAAACGGUAAUAUUAAUAUAUCGUUAGUUUGAGUAAAAUUAAGUUUAUUUUUUAAAAAUAAAAUCUAAGAUUCAAAUGUUAUAAAUAAAUAAAAAAUAUGAUUAAAAAAAAGCCAUCUAAUUUUUUUUGACAAAGGUUAAUGAUAAGUUUAAUCUGAGCAAUAACAUGACAGUAGAAGCAACCGACUGCAACUCGUCUACUUGAAUAUCUUCCUAAUAAUUGUUUCAACUUUCAAGCCUCGUGUGCUUUGACAUUUAUGCUCCAUAUCCUGAAAAUUUUGAUAAGAUAAGGGACCAAUCUAUACACAGUCCCAAGGAGAUUUGCAAGUAAGAAGAGAAAAAAAUAAAAUUCCAGACCCAUUGUUGGUGAAGGCGAAAUGUGUAGUGGGUUGUCAACGCAAUGCAAUGGUUCACAGUGUGCUGGUCUUAUUGAUGUUUUUUGGUUGCAGGUUCAAUGGUGGUUCUGAUGUAGAGAAGAAGAUGAAAGGGCCAAGGAGGAGAGAAUGGAACAGAGGAAGAAGAAGAGGGUAGAUGAGGAAAGAGAGAAAGAAAAAUCCAAAAAGAAAAUAAAAAUCCCAGCCAUUGAUUUUAAUUUUAAAAUAUCUAAUAAUUUCAAUUAGUUUCCCACUAUGCCAAUCUCGUAAAACUUUCGUCUGGCACCGUGCCUCGCUGUUGAAGGGUUCCCAUGCUAGCAUCUGCCAACACGAUCUGACAUUUCAACUAGGGGUGGGUAUAUCGGUCGGUUUAGUCCGUUUAAGAUCUGACAUGUGAAAUCAAUAUUUUAAGCUUAUUGGGUAAAUCUGGUUGUAAAAUAGAAAGAUUUUUUUUCUUUUUUUUAGAUUUAUAUUGGUUUCCUAAUCCGGUAAAUAAACGAAUUGGUCCGUGGGUUCAAUUAAUAAUUUAAAAAUAAAAAUAAAAAUAUAUUUUUAAUUAUUUGGUAGGUUCGCAAGCAAGAGAGGGGCAACACACGUCAACUGAAGAAGAGAAAGUAAUCUUGUGGAUCUCGUGACAGAAUGAGAGCUGGAGAAGGAGUGAGAGUUAAAAAGAAGAGACUGCCAAGUAUAAAGUCUCAACUCAAAUACUAAAUUUAUGUAAUUUUUAUUUUAAAAUUAAUUUUAUCUUAUUAGUAAAUCUGUGUAUAAAAUUCGUUAAAUUUGCAUACUUAACGAAUCAAACUCAAAUAUUAUUUAUAAUUAUAUGGAUUUAUAAAAAAAUAAAUUGAUAAUAUGCUCAAUCCACGAAAAUAACGGACCGUCCCCGCAAACCUGAAUAGUCAUCCCUAAUUUCAACGGAGUGGAAAGUGGGAAACCAUGAAACUUGCUACGUACUGUGAAAUUAAAAGGUCCGUACUAAUGUACGAAAUUAAUAAUCUUCUCCUCCCUUGUCGUCAUUUCUCACCUCAUCAUAUACAUAAUAAUACAUUAGUACUUUUUUAGGAGGACAGGCCAUAUAUAUUUUUAACACAUUUUUAAUAUUAUUUGUUGUUAAUUAGUUUUUUAAUAAAUUAUAAGUUAAGUUAAAAUUUAUUAAAUUUACAAAACUAUAAGAAAAAAACAUUAAAUAAGAUGUAGGAUCUACAAAAUUUAUAAUUUAUAAUAAAUUUUAACUAAUAAAUUUUAACUAACAAAUUUUCAGCAUUUUUCUAUUCUUUUAGACUACAAGUAUUGAUUAAGUUAAAACAACCAUGUGUUAAUGGUUCCUAUAGUAAUAUUAUUAGGAUAGAAUAUAAUUAUUUUUGGUACAAAAAUACAUGGGAUUUAGAUAAAAAAAAAUCCUGUUAAUUAAUGUUACAAGAUACAUUAUUUAAACAUUUAAAAAUUAACAUUACAUUUAGCAUUUCAAGUUUUCAACGGAGUAGAAAGUGGGAAACGAUGAAAUUUGCUACUCUUAAUUUAAAAGGUUCGUACUAUAAAUUAUAAUGAGAUUCGUCUUUACUUUCGCACCCUCUAUACAUUAUAGUAAUUUAAAGUGCAUGUGAUAUGGUAUGCGAAUAUUUCUACCUGUUGUUUAAAAUUUAUUUAGAAUAUAGUACGACACUGAAACAUUAUUAUCUCAUAAAAAAAAUUUAUAUAAUUAAAAAUAAAUUUAAUUUAAUACAUUGAUAAUAUAAUUUUUUUAUAUCAUCAAUUAAUUAAAAAUCAUUCUAAAUAUAAAUUUUAAAAUAACUAUUAUAAAAGUAAAAAAAAUUAAUAUACACAACAAUUCAUAAUUAGAUGACAUUGCGUUUUAAUUAAUUCAUUGAAAAUUAGUGCCUUUUAUAAUAAAUAAUCUAGAAGUGAUAUUUAAAGUGGUUUCUAAUUAGUUAUUAGUAUACAUUUUUACAGUAGCAUAGUUUUAAAAUUAAACUUCCAGUAUAUGUUUUUAUUUUCUAGAUAUACAUGCAGAUUAAAAAUAUAUUUUAAAACUAAAGGAGACUUUUUUGUUAUAUAAUAAUAAUAAUAAUAAUAAUAAUAAUAAUAAUAAUAAUAAUAUAAAGUGAGAGAUGGAAAUGUAUGAGGGGACGAUGUUCGAUUUAUUUUUAUGAUGGGAACAUAAUUUUUUAAAAUAAAAAAUAAUUAGAAAAUUUUAUUUAAAAUAUUUUUAUUAUUAAUAUAUCUCUUAUUAAAAUUAUAUAUAUAUAUAUAUAUAUAUAUAUGAGAUUGCUAGCAUACUCUAAUGUUAGAGUAUUUAAAUAACCUACAUCAAAUUAUUAGAAUAAAAAGCUUAACUAUUUAUUUUGUGAUAAUAAAUUUAUUUAAAAAAAUAUGAUAAUUUAAUAUUUAUAUUUUUAAAAUUCAUUUAUUUAUCUCUUCAACUCAUUCUCUCUCCUCUCUUUUUCUCUCACAUCAUUUAAUAUUUAUAUUUUCAAAAUUAAAAUUUAAAAUAUUUACCGAGAGAAUGAAUGAGGAAAAUAAAUAAAUGAGUUUUAAAAAUAUAAACAUUAAAUUAUCAUAUUAUUCUUAAAUAAAUUUAUUAUCACACAAUAAAUAGUUUAAUCUUUGAUCUAAAUAAUUUGGUGUAGGUUAAAUACUCUAACAUGAGAGAGUAAGUUAACAAAUCAUUUUAUGAAUGUACGUAUGGGAAGGAAGAAUGUAAUAGAAAACAAAAAAGAAAGAAAAAGAAGGAAAUUAAAAAUAAUAAAUGUAAUUAAUGAUUUAAGAAAAAAAUAAAAAUAUAGUAUACAAACGAGAAAAUAAUUACAGUCAGACUCAGAAACUGUCAUGAUAUUUAUUCAUCUCUAAGUAAAACAUAAUUUUAUUUUAUUUUAUUUUCCCCUCAGAAUUUUAAAAACUCAAGUGUCUCAUGUAUAGCCAAAAAAACCAUAGACGCAUGGUAGUUGGAGAGCCGAGAGCCUACAAUUAUUUCUGAGACAAAAGAUGGAAGAUAAAGUUUACAUAAUUGUUCUCUCUCCAAUUUCUAUUAUAAGAAAAAAAAUAAUUUCAUAUUAAUUAUAAAAUUAAUUAAUUUUAUUAAAUUAUGUUAAUUCCAAAUAAAAAUAAGUUUUUUAAAAAAAUUAUUUUUCAUUAAAACUUGAUAUCAAACAUAAAAAAAAAAUUAUCCUAUCAAAUGAAAGACAUUUAUUUAAAAAUAGUUUUAUUAAAUACGGUAAAGUUAAUUAACUUUUGUUUAUAUAAAAAAAAGCAAUUUUUUUGUUGCUUAUUAAAAAGACCAGUGGGAGUACUAAUUAAAACAAAACUAUGGCUGCUAUGUAACAUGGCACCAGAGAGUCUCAAUCCUUAGAGAAAUUAAAUACCAAACUUUGACAUUUCACAGAGUGAUGGUAGUAAUAAAUGACAAGGAAUGAGACCCAGCAUGGACCCAGUCCUUUGACCACUAUUAUUGUCCAGCUCAAUUGAAAUUUUUUUAUUAAGAGUUUAACUUAGUUGAAUAUGAUAAAUAAAUUAUUAUAAUUUUUUAAUAUUUAUUUUUAAUUUUUAUGAAUAAAAAACUAUUACAAUCUCAGUUCAUUUUCUUGGGACACGUAAUCAAGUUUAAUAACUAUUUCUCAUAGCUUAAAAAUUCAGUUAUGUCGAGUAUUUAUGUACAAAUUAGUUAGAACAAUAGGCGCGUAUAGUGGUCGCCCUCUAAGACAUAUAAUUGUGAAGAUCGAAGAGAAGCUUUAUACAAUUAUUAAUGAUAAAACUAUCAUUGUUAUAUAACAUGGGGCCAUAAAUGAGUGCAUGGAUUGAAUGAUGCAAAAUUGUUACAACUUAAUUAAUUAUCUUGAGUUUUAAUUUUAAAUAUAUAUUUGUGUUAAAUACUCCGGAAAGAGUUUUAUGUUCAUAAUUAUUAUAUUUAACUUGAACAAUAUUAACUCAACUGAUGAUGCAUAUAUAGUUUAUACAAAAAAUAUAUAUAUAACAUGGGACCUAGGCGAUGGCAAAACGGGUUGGAUCUAUUCGAUCAACCCAUUUUGGGCUUUUUUUUCGAAUUAGGUUGGAAUUUUCAAUCCUUCAACUGCUUUGCUAUGUUUUGAUCCGCUACAAAAUGGGUUGAGAGGAAAGUAGAACGGACCAACUCUCUAACCCGUUUUUUUUAUUAAGAAAUAAUUUUAGUAUUUAUUUUGAUAUUUUAUACUAAUAUUUAUUAAUUUUCAAUUAGCUUAUUUUUUGUCUAAAUAAAUUAUUAUUAAAAAUUUAAGGUAAUACAUUUAAUUUUUUAGUAAGUAUUUAUUAUUUAAUAUUUAUAAAAGAUAAAAUUAAUUAAAAUACAUUUAUAAUUUAUUUUUUUAGUUUUGACAUGACAAAAACGAAAUGAACUGAACACUUUGAAUCUAUAUAUAAAAUACGGGAUGAGAUGGGAUGGAUUGAUCCGUUUUUUAUGGAUUGAUCCCUUUUUGCUAGCCCUAAUGGGACCAAAGAGUCACUAUCCUUUAGAAAAAUUCACACCAAACUUUUGACAUUACAGGCAGGGACAAUGCGAGUAAUAAAUGGCAUAGAAUGAGACCCUAGUCCUCUGGCCACUAUAAAAAGGGAUGAUUGUGUGUGUUACAUGCAUCAGCCACCACCAUUGACUAGUAUCAUUAAGAUGGCUAAUUCCUACUUAUCCUUGCUUGUCUUGAUCCUUGUAGCUCUGCUCCUCACCCCUCAAGGGCUUGCUGAUGAAUCUGAUUCUUACUAUAAGCCACCAGUUUACAAGAAACCACCAGUGUACAAGCCCAAGCCCAAGCCACCCAUUCACAAGCCCAAGCCACCCGUUUACAAGCCCAAGCCACCCGUUUACAAGAAACCCCCUUAUGGUAAGUACCCACCAGUUCAAGACAACGAUCACUUCUAAACCAUGCAACAAGGCAUGUUAAUGUUAACUAUCUACUAAAAUAAAGAGGUUCAGUUAACCUACUACGUACGUUGCUCCUUUUAAUUCCUAAAUCGUAAUUUACAACUUUGUAGGGAUGAGACAUUCUUGGCUAGCUCUGCACUUCAAUCCUUUAUUUGUACAAUGCUAUGGCCAAGUCAAUACCAUGCAUCUUAUCUAUGUGUGUCAUUGAACGAAGUAGUUGCGUGAAAAUGAUGCUUGUACUAUGAAUAAAUAAUAAAAGAACUUUAUCAUUUCAAGAUUGUGCUGUUUAGUUUAUUUGCUGAACCACCGUUACUGACCAUAAAUAAUACACAUGCAGGUCUUGUUUAGGAUAAACUUAAUUAUCCGUAA